GUUGUCCGGAAUCAUUGGGCGUAAAGCGCGUGUAGGCGGUCCGGUAAGUCCGCUGUGAAAGUCGGGGGCUCAACCCUCGGAUGCCGGUGGAUACUGUCGGGCUUGAGUACGGAAGAGGCGAGUGGAAUUCCUGGUGUAGCGGUGAAAUGCGCAGAUAUCAGGAGGAACACCAAUUGCGAAGGCAGCUCGCUGGGACGUUACUGACGCUGAGACGCGAAAGCGUGGGGAGCAAACAGG
rnacentral:rRNA from 1 species